UUUUUUCUGUUGUAAAUGGGAAAAAGCUUGAAAAAGACUCGAUGGCUAUCAUUUCAAUACAUAGAAUAAAUAGUUCCAUUCAAUUUAUUUCAAUUGAAUAGACAGAUCCAUUCAGUCUACAAUACUGAAGGAUCCAGAUUAAUCACCUCCCAAAAUUGACUGGAAUAAAUAGAGAUAAAUAAAAACCAAAUACAGAUAUGAGUUCAAAUUCUAAAGAGUGCCUACUGUAACUACAGGUCCAAAAGCUAAUACUAGAAGUCCCUGUUUCUUUAUUAUUAACUGGGUGAUCCUUAGUUAUUCAACCAUGUGACCUGAGUAACUUUUAAGUUCCUCAUCUCUAAAAUGGAUAUUUAUGAAUAAGAGCACCACUGCAUCAAAUUGCUGUGAGAAUUAAAACAAUUUAUAAAUAAUACUUGGGCAGAGCCUGACUAAUAGUAAUAUAGUAAUUAUAAGCAUUGAGGUUGGUAAGGUUUACAGGAGUCUGAAACAGACAUUAACAUGAAAGAAGAUUCUUGAAAAGUGAACUUGGGAUCCACAUCUAUAGCAAAAGCAAAGAGAUAAGAUUGGGCAGAGUGAGAAGUUAGGACGAGAAGAGGUCACAGCAAGGUUUCUGCCCACCCCUCCAAGAACCCUGGAGCUCAGAAGACCCCUCUGAAUGGUCCUGAAUUAGGGUGAAGGUCUUUCCUUUCAGUGAGGCAGCUUUCUUGAGCAGAAAGCAAUACCUAGAGAGGACCACUCUAAGCAGCUGUGAGAGUAACUUCCUUCAGUCAUGAAGGUCAAUCUGGAAGGCACAGUAAAUUAUUACUAAAACAUUUAGUAAUUAUUGUGUAUUAGUAUGACUUUUAUGUUUUUUUUUUUUUUUUGGUUGUUAAUCUUGAAACAUUUUCUUCCAUUUUUCAGUUCCUUAC
rnacentral:lncRNA from 10 species